rnacentral:lncRNA from 10 species
GCCCUCGGCCUCGCUCUUGCGCACGGGACCACAAUGCUCCGCGCCGCUUGUCAUUGGGAGGCGCCGAAGGUGGAGAGGUCGGCUCGGAAGGAAAAGCAAUCACAGGAAUAUAUAAAACAUGAGCAGAAAGAGGCCUUUGGAGAAAUCUGGACCAGCAUUCUCAUUUUACGGAUGAGGGACCACGGCCCAUGGAGGUUUCCAUAGAUGAUUGGAAAAACCCAAGAGUUGGUCCUCUGUUCCAGACCCCACACAGACACAAACCUACAAGCCAAGGGAGCCAGUAUUUGGCCAUUCGUCCAUCCAUCUGCAUGUCCCAGGGAUGCACGAACAGGGAACACUUCAGCCUUUCGGCUGCCUUCAAAGAAGCAAUGAGAGAGAGAGAGAGGGUUACUUUGAUGAGUGAGCAGAUACCAGGUACUGUUUUGGGGAAACUGCUUUUCUCUGAGUCUAUAUUGGUCUGCACAAAUAAACUAAAAUGCUUUUUAAGUUGUUUUAUGAUCUAUAUAGAAGAGAUAUUGACAAACUUCUCCUGCUUAGAAAAUAAAAGGGACACUUGGAAUUAACAAAGGGGGUUGGUAGAUUUACCAUUGAGGUUGAUGAACUUAAUAUAUCAUCUGGUAAAACAAGCGUCAGGAAAUAUCCAUCAUUCAAAUGUUUUGGCUGACAGCAAAAUGCUCAAGGACUAAUCCCACAGCUGAAAUGUAGGGGAAAAUUUCCCCUACAUUUGGCUCCUUCUGGCUCCUACUUGGUCUACACUUUUGGAAGGACUGCUGAGAUUGUAUCCUUGGAGUCAGGGCGAGAGUGCCCCCUCCUUUUCCCCACUUGGAAACCAGAGUUUGUGGAAAGUGAAGAAGUGAUGUGCUGGAGCCAGAGGCUCAGUGCUGGGCUGGGGCUGGCUGGCCUGACCCAAGCCACCUGGUUACUCAGAGCCCAGCACUGGGUGGAAUCCCUGGGGUCUACAGGCAUUCACCCAUCCCCAGAAGCCCAGAUGAGUCUCUGAACAGUUGGCUGUGAGUGAGAUGACCUCAGAAAUGGAAGAGGUCAGUGCCUUAGCCAGACAGGCACUGACAUGAAUGUCAUAGGCAUGCUCCAGGGCCUUCUGAGAAAUGGAAAUACCAUCUGGAUGGAAUGACCUUUAUGCAACAAAAAGUUUAAUUAAAAGAAGUCUCCUCAACAGGCAUUGAAUAUUAGUGCUCGUCAAGAUUCAAAAGAGAUUUCCCUUAGAAUAAUUCCUCACCACAUAUAUUGAGGUUCUGGAGUGAUUCAUCCUACCCUCAUACAUAAAUGUUUGUGCUAACCAGGCUGAUGCAAUGUGACUUGUGUACAUAAGCAUUUUUAAAAUGGAAAAGCAAUUCUGGGACAACAAGGGAUUCUGGAAGUGUCAGGAAAAGGGAGGGAAAUAAAAAAUUAAAAAAUGCAAUUGAGUAAAGAAUUAUGCAUCAUGAAUCCUGGUACUGAGAUGAGAAGGUUUGGUUAUAGAAAGAGUUGAAAGUGGAGGAGGAAGAAGAAGACUGAUGGAGAUGACUGUGGAACUAUGGACACUUGAAGUUGGAUAUUUCAGAAAUGAAUGGCACUGAAUUUUUGAACAUACAUUUUACCAUGAGAUAUUUUAAGUAUAGAAAGUAUAAACAAUAACACAAUGAGCAUCCCUAUA